rnacentral:lncRNA from 1 species
GGACCCUAUUUCCCGAAACCAGAAUAAACUGAUUGGCAGAUCCAUGUUGACCCACUAUGUUCAGUGGAGCAGCUUACUCGCAGGUAAGUUUGCAUACUUGCAUAAGUCUAUACUUGCAAACCUUAUUUCAUAGUUUAAACUUGUUUAUAUCUUUAGUGUAGAGCUUUGCAUAUGCAAUAAGCGUUGCAUUGCUCUUCAGCACAGCAACUAUAACAUUCUGAAUGCCAGAAAAAUAUAUAUGCAAGGAUAAACUUUUUAUGAACUAAAAAGUUAAUUUGGAUGAACUUGAACUGAACUGGUUCAUUUUGUAAAGGGGUGAAUUUGAAAUGCAGCUAGUUCCUUUACGGAUAUAAUGAUCUUGAACUAGAAUUAAUUACUUCUCAAGAACUGUGCAUGAUUAGCACUGAUGUAUAAUGGUUCAUUCAAGCAGACUGUCAAGGUUACUGUUUAAUCUGCUAUACUAAGCUCAGCACCAGCAGGGGACUGGGCACCUCAGGCUGAGCUCCUACUGCCCACCAUUUGCCCCAGCAGGCUGACAUCAGAUUUUAGUAGGUGCACCCUUGUUCAUCUUGAUUCUAGGUGCUAGAAUUAUACUGCAUGAUUUGCAUUAUCUUCCACAUGGUGACGUUUAUGGCCUUGCUCAUGAGGAUCUGGCUUAGUGCACAUCUGCUGCACCAUCCGUGCCAGUCUCUUCAUUUGCCUGAAAUAGUAGCAACCUAUGCAUAACCUAGGGACGCGGGUGGCGCUGUGGGUUAAACCACAGAGCCUAGGGCUUGCUGAUCAGAAGGUCAGCGGUUCGAAUCCCUGUGAGGGGGUGAGCUCCCGUUGCUCGGUCCCUGCUCCUGUCAACCUAGCAGUUUGAAAGCAUGUCAAAGUGCAAGUAGAUAAAUAGGUACUGCUCUGACGGGAAGGUAAACAGUGUUUCCAUGCGCUGCUCUGGUUCGCCAGAAGUGGCUUAGUCAUGCUGGCCACAUGACCCGGAAAAACUGUCUGCGGACAAACGUCGGCUCCCUUGGCCAGUAAAGCAAGAUGAAUGCCACAGCCCUAGAGUCAUCCACGACUGGACUUAACUGCCAGGGGUCCAUUUACCUAUGCAUAGCAUGGAAGCCUCUUUUGCCUCAUCCUUGGGAUCUUGACUGAGCUUGGGUGCAUGGAAAAUGUGUUUCAUGUCUGCAGGAUGACUAUAUCACAUGUAGCAUGGAUCAGUGUGAAUUAUUAUUACCAGUAAAAAUGGGUACAUAAAGUAUUUUUCCAACUGUAAAAAUUACCAGCAUCAUCUCCUUCCCUACCCACCACUGCUGCAUCUUUAAAUAUAAAAUCACUUUCCUCACAUAUUUGUGUUUGAUGUUAUGUUUUUAAAGGAAUAUCCUGUCAAUUCUGAAACAGAACUGUUUUAUGUUGCCACUGAAUUGCUUUGAUCUCUAGAUUAGAACUGAUGAGCUGUAGCUUCCUUAUUGCUGAAGGUUGCCAACAAUUACUAAUGUCUGUUUGUUUUGAGCUUAUCAGAACUCUAAAAGAAAGAAUAAUGGCAAAAUGUAGGCAUAGAAUGUCCCCCCCCCCAGCAUGAAUAUGGAGCAAAAUAAAAUCAGUUUCCUUGUGUUUAUUUUCCUAGGAUUCAGAAUUGAUUAUUUGAUGCUUGCAAUAAACAACAGAAGCAUGCAUUCACAAAGCUGUAAAUAGAUAAUUUGGAACCUAUCUAGUCCUUAAUGAUGCAACCAAAUGUGAUUAAAAUUAUGGGUUUCACAGUUCCAUUUCUACACCAAGACAAUGCUAAUUUCCCCAUUUAUAAUAUCUACAGUAUUGCAUACAGUUUGCAGUGGCGAAGCCCCUGCUAUCUAUUGGCUAAGCUGGUGGUGUAAUAGUGUGGAAUGUUCACAAAUGUUCCAACUUUUCAGGGAACAAAGAUGUCAGAUUGUUUGCAAUCCAUCUUUUGUAAUGAAAGAAAAAGAUUAAAGUAGGAACAGGAAAAGCUUUCUGGGAAGAUAGAAGAAUGAGGAGAAGUUCCAGGAGCCAAUACUAAAAUAGUAUUGAGGCAAAGCCUCACACAGGGACUAGGAACAGGAAAAACAGUACAUCAUAAUCAACAUGCAAUAACCAAAAGAAGUAUGCUUUCAUAAAACUGAAAAUAAAUAAUUUGGAAGCUCUCUAGAUGGCUGCUCCUGACAUCUGAAGCAACCCUAAGAGGGCAACCGAAGCCCAAAACUAAAACAAAAAUUGGUGGCAACAACUUCACAUGUUUAUUUUACCUAGUCAGAUAAUUCCACAGUUUCAGCUUUCCACUCAAAUCUUUAUUUGCAGUGCAAUCCUGUACAGGUCUACUCAGAAGUGAGUUCAGUUGGGUUCACUCCCAGGUAAGUGCUAUAGGAUUGCAGCCUUAACAACUCUUUAGCCAGAGUUCAGUUUAAUUUCUGGUAUUUUGUUGCUACCAUUGUUGUGCGUAUGCAUGAAACAUACAUUUAUAGUAAAAUUCCUGUAUUAUACAUUCUAGGAGUCAUAACAGAAUGCCAAACAUUACUAAUCUCUAUACCCUGUUAUUUUUACAGAUUAUCUCAAGGUCUGUGGUAUGUAAAAAAAAAAAUGAAAAUGUUUAUGAGGACUUUUGUGGGUAUUCUGUUUCAGAGUUGAGAUUUUGCCAAAGGAGGCAUGAUCUUUGACUGCAGGUUUGUGCUUUCUCUUACCCAGUAGCUAAACCCACUCUCUUUCUCUGACACCACCCAGAAUAUUUAGUCCAUAGAGACGCCACUGUCUCAUCCAGUUUCCUAAUUUAGACUGAGGGAGAAAUUUGCAACGGGAAUAGCUGGGGGUGCUUGAUAUCAAUCCUGUGAAGGAAGGGGAUGUUGGUAAAGUUAGCAUAAUGGUGCUGAUAGCUUUUUAAAAAUUAACCUAUUCCCCUCAGAGGUAGCUGAGCCACUGUUUUUUUUUUUUUUUUAAAGAUUAAUUACUACUCAGAUUCACUAGUGUAUUGCCAGGGAUAUUAUGAAGUAAAUAAUAUGGCACGAUGGGGUGAAUCCUGAAUUACUUAUCCCAGGCCAACUAUUAUGACAGAAGAAACUCUUGUUUCUAAACAAGUCAUGUUAGUUCAUGGAAGUAAAAAAACAAACAACAACACAAAACCAUUCACACAAAAGUGCUAUCUUUUAGCAGGAAUCUUUUGAGAUCCAUCUGAUAGCGAUUGCACUGUGGCAAAAGAUUAACCUCUUGAAACAUGUUUUACUUUAUCACACUAAUUAAACCCUUCCAUUCUUAGGGGGAUAAGGUGCCG